rnacentral:rRNA from 1 species
UACGGAGGGUGCAAGCGUUAUCCGGAUUUACUGGGUUUAAAGGGUGCGUAGGUGGGCAGGUAAGUCAGUGGUGAAAUCUCCGGGCUUAACUCGGAAACUGCCAUUGAUACUAUCUGUCUUGAAUAUCCUGGAGGUAAGCGGAAUAUGUCAUGUAGCGGUGAAAUGCUUAGAUAUGACAUAGAACACCCAUUGCGAAGGCCGCUUACUACGGGAUUAUUGACACUGAGGCACGAAAGCGUGGGGAUCAAACAGG